UACGGAGGGGGUUAGCGUUGUUCGGAAUUACUGGGCAUAAAGAGUUCGUAGGCGGAUGCGUCAGUUGGGUGUGAAAUCCCGGGGCUUACCCCCGGAACUGCACUCAAUACUGCGUAUCUGGAGUCCUUGAGGGGAAAGUGGAAUUCCAUGUGUAGCGGUGAAAUGCGUAGAUAUAUGGGAGAACGCCAAUGGCGAAGGCAGCUUUCUGGCAAGUGACUGACGCUGAGGAACGAAAGUUAGGGUAUCGAACGGG
rnacentral:rRNA from 1 species